UGAAGAUGGCUACAGUGACAGUGUGUGUAGUGAAGAUGGCUACAGUGACAGUGUGUGUAGUGAAGAUGGCUACAGUGAGUUUUACAGUGAGCCCCAUAGUUUACUUUAGAUACGUUUAAGGAGACGAAUGAACCCAGAAUUUGAUGUUAUGUUCGUCACAAGUUGGGUGGAGGCGGGUAUAGGAAGCUCAGCUCUGAGAGGCAAGAUGGCCGACACAACCCGGGCAGGAAGGAGCCGCUUUCCCGCCUAAAGUCAAACCGGAAGCGACGAGACUGGGGUCUUCCGGGAAAGUGGGAAUUGUGAUUGGCUGGCCGCCGGGUGGGCGACCAAUGAGAACACGCCGUCGCGGAACCGGACGUGACGUGACGUCACUGCCCUCAGCUGUGGGCGGGAGGGACCGACGGCGUCAGUGCGUUCUGGAACUUCGUUGAGGUCGGGUGCGUCACUUAUUUCUUCAAUUUGAAGCGAAUCUUUCUGUCGAAGAGAUCGGCUAAGCUGACAUUAAUUGAGGUCGAAGACAGAAGAGGCGUUAGGGCGACUGUCAGGCUGGAAUUCGGAAGUGCUGAGCCGCGAGAAGUGGGUCCUGGUAGACAGGUAGUCUACCUGUCUAGUCAGGUCGCGCUCCUGGAGGUCGUAGCGACCUGAGACAAGAGGAGGUAGUCCUGGUCGACGACCUGCCAGCUGCUAGGGGUCACCCUGAUGUCCCCUGCUGCUGCUAACCACAACAGUCGCCUGGAACAGGGACGACGGGUCUACAGCCCACCUAAGGAAGCCUUGAACGCGCCCCGGUGUGGCUGAAGAAACGGCGGCAAAAUGUGGCGGGAAGAUAAGGCGCCCGCGGUCCCACGGUGCCGCGCUGCCUGAGGCGCGACCACUCUCUCGUGUCACUUUCUUACCAAUAAAUAAGUAACAUUUUUCGAGAUGGGAAUACAAACGUUGAGUCUGUGUAUUGUCCAUUAAGAAAUUAAUAUACUAGUAGUAACGAAUAUUAAGCGAAAUGUUUAAGAGGAGUGAUUUUAAGCGAGGGGUGAUGAUCGCGCAGCAGACAGCGGCUCCAUCAACCAGCUCGCUACAGUCAGCUGAUAAAAAGCGCGGGAAGGCGACGGGGUUCAUCUUUUUAAUCGCGGGCUCGAGGGGGGAUCCCCACGUCACUUCCCUUCAUGAUUGCCUCCACCCCACCACUCUGCAACUCAUAUAUUGACACACACUCCAAACAGCCAACUUAUUGUUCAACUUGAAAAUUUAAUAAAAAUGUAUUUAUG